rfam:Ailuropoda melanoleuca scaffold1740_47, whole genome shotgun sequence.
AUACUUACCUGGCAGGGGAGACACGAUGGUCAGGCAGGUGGUUUUCCUGGGUUGAGGCUUGUCCAUUGCACUGCGGAUGUGCUGACCCCUGCGAUUUCCCCAGAAGCGGGUAACUCGACUGCAUAAUUUGUGGUAGUGGGGACUGUGUUUGUGCUCUCCCCUG